rnacentral:rRNA from 1 species
GAGUUUGAUCCUGGCUCAGGAUGAACGCUGGCGGCGUGCCUAACACAUGCAAGUCGAGCGAUUCUCUUCGGAGAAGAGCGGCGGACGGGUGAGUAACGCGUGGGUAACCUGCCCUGUACACACGGAUAACAUACCGAAAGGUAUGCUAAUACGGGAUAACAUAAGAAAUUCGCAUGUUUUUCUUAUCAAAGCUCCGGCGGUACAGGAUGGACCCGCGUCUGAUUAGCUAGUUGGUAAGGUAACGGCUUACCAAGGCGACGAUCAGUAGCCGACCUGAGAGGGUGAUCGGCCACAUUGGAACUGAGACACGGUCCAAACUCCUACGGGAGGCAGCAGUGGGGAAUAUUGCACAAUGGGGGAAACCCUGAUGCAGCGACGCCGCGUGAAGGAAGAAGUAUCUCGGUAUGUAAACUUCUAUCAGCAGGGAAGAUAGUGACGGUACCUGACUAAGAAGCCCCGGCUAACUACGUGCCAGCCGCCGCGGUAAUUC